GAUGAACGCUGGCGGCGUGCCUAAUACAUGCAAGUCGAGCGAACAGACGAGGAGCUUGCUCCUCUGACGUUAGCGGCGGACGGGUGAGUAACACGUGGAUAACCUACCUAUAAGACUGGGAUAACUUCGGGAAACCGGAGCUAAUACCGGAUAAUAUAUUGAACCGCAUGGUUCAAUAGUGAAAGACGGUUUUGCUGUCACUUAUAGAUGGAUCCGCGCCGCAUUAGCUAGUUGGUAAGGUAACGGCUUACCAAGGCAACGAUGCGUAGCCGACCUGAGAGGGUGAUUGGCCGCACUGGAACUGAGACACGGUCCAGACUCCUACGGGAGGCAGCAGUAGGGAAUCUUCCGCAAUGGGCGAAAGCCUGGCGGAGCAACGCCGCGUGAGUGAUGAAGGUCUUCGGAUCGUAAAACUCUGUUAUUAGGGAAGAACAAAUGUGUAAGUAACUAUGCACGUCUUGACGGUACCUAAGCAGAAAACCACGGCUAACUACGU
rnacentral:rRNA from 1 species